rnacentral:rRNA from 1 species
AUACAAAACCAAUGCCCUUCGGGGCUCCUUGGUGAUUCAUGAUAACUAUACGAAUCGCACGGCCUUGCGCCGGCGAUGGUUCAUUCAAAUUUCUUCCCUAUCAACUUUCGAUGUUUGGGUAUUGGCCAAACAUGGUUUCAACGGGUAACGGAGGAUUAGGGUUCGACCCCGGAGAAGGAGCCUGAGAAACGGCUACCACAUCCAAGGAAGGCAGCAGGCGCGCAAAUUACCCAAUCCCGAUUCGGGGAGGUAGUGACAAUAAAUACUGAUACAGGGCCCUUUCGGGCCUUGUAAUUGGAAUGAGUACAAUUUAAAUCCCUUAACGAGGAACAAUUGGAGGGCAAGUCUGGUGCCAGCAGCCGCGGUAAUUCCAGCUCCAAUAGCGUAUAUUAAAGUUGUUGUGGUUAAAAAGCUCGUAGUUGAACCUUGGGCCUGGCUGGCCGGUCCGCCUCACCGCGUGCACUGGUCCGGCCGGGCCUUUCCCUCUGUGGAACCCCAUACCCUUCACUGGGCGUGGC